rnacentral:rRNA from 1 species
UAAGGAAUAUUGGUCAAUGGACGCAAGUCUGAACCAGCCAUGCCGCGUGAAGGAUGAAGGUCCCCUGGAUUGUAAACUUCUUUUAUCUGGGACGAAAACGGGAUUUUUAUCUCAAUUGACGGUACCAGAGGAAUAAGCACCGGCUAACUCCGCGCCAGCAGCCGCGGUAAUACGGAGGGUGCGAGCGUUAUCCGGAUUUACUGGGUUUAAAGGGUGCGUAGGUGGGCUUAUAAGUCAGUGGUGAAAUCUCCGAGCUUAACUUGGAAACUGCCGUUGAUACUAUAGGUCUUGAAUUAUCUGGAGGUAAGCGGAAUAUGUCAUGUAGCGGUGAAAUGCUUAGAUAUGACAUAGAACACCAAUUGCGAAGGCAGCUUACUACAUAUAAAUUGACGCUGAGGCACGAAAGCGUGGGGAUCAAACA